UACGGGGGGGGCAAGCGUUGUUCGGAAUUACUGGGCGUAAAGGGCGCGUAGGCGGCCUGUUAAGUCACACGUGAAAUCCCUCGGCUCAACCGGGGAACUGCGUCUGAUACUGGGUGGCUUGAAUUCGGGAGAGGGAUGCGGAAUUCCAGGUGUAGCGGUGAAAUGCGUAGAUAUCUGGAGGAACACCGGUGGCGAAGGCGGCAUCCUGGACCAACACUGACACUGAGGAGCGAAAGCCAGGGGAGCAAACGGG
rnacentral:rRNA from 1 species